UGGUCAAGUUAUUAAGGGUGCAGGGCGGAUGCCUUGGCACUAGGAGCCGAUGAAGGACGUGAUAAGCUGCGAUAAGCUUCGGGGAGUUGCACGUAAACUUUGAUCCGAAGAUUUCCGAAUGAGGAAACUCACUUAGAGUAAUGUCUAAGUAUCAUUAAGUGAAUACAUAGCUUAAUGAGGGGAACUCAGGGAACUGAAACAUCUAAGUACCUGAAGGAAGAGAAAGAAAUUCGAUUCCGUAAGUAGCGGCGAGCGAACGCGGAUUAGCCCAAACCAAUAAAGUUUUCUUUAUUGGGGUUGCGGACAUAUCAUAACGAAGAGGUAUCGUAAUUGAAGAGGUUUGGAAAGACCCACCACAGAAGGUAAUAGUCCUGUAUGUUAAACGAGAAGACUUUAGAUAUGAUCCAGAGUACCACGGGACACGUGAAACCCUGUGGGAAGCAGGAGGGACCACCCUCCAAGGCUAAAUACUACCUAGUGACCGAUAGCGUAUAGUACCGUGAGGGAAAGGUGAAAAGAACCCCGGGAGGGGAGUGAAAUAGAACCUGAAACCCUGCACUUACAAGCUGUGGAAGCACAUUUCUUGUGUGACCGCGUACUUUUUGUAGAACGGGCCAACGAGUUACGUUAAGUAGCAAGGUUAAGCACUUAAGGUGUGGAGCCGUAGCGAAAGCGAGUUUUAACUGAGCGUUCAGUUACUUGACGUAGACCCGAAACCGGGCGACCUACCCAUGAGCAGGAUGAAGCGAAAGUAAAAUUUCGUGGAGGUCCGAACCCACGAGCGUUGAAAAGCUCGGGGAUGACUUGUGGGUAGCGGUGAAAUUCCAAUCGAGCCCGGAGAUAGCUGGUUCUCCCCGAAAUAGCUUUAGGGCUAGCCUCAAGGUGAGAGAUACGGAGGUAGAGCACUGAAUGUCCUAGGGGGUAUUGCACCUACCGAAGACUAUCAAACUCCGAAUGCCGUCAUCUUAUACUUGGGAGUCAGACUGUGGGUGAUAAGAUUCAUAGUCGAAAGGGCAACAGCCCAGAUCGUCAGCUAAGGUCCCUAAAUGUAAGUUAAGUGGUAAAGGAUGUGGGAUUGCACAGACAACCAGGAUGUUGGCUUAGAAGCAGCCACUCAUUCAAAGAGUGCGUAAUAGCUCACUGGUCGAGUGAUCCUGCGCCGAAGAUUUCCGGGGCUAAAACUUACUACCGAAGCUACGGCAUCAGUAAUGAUGGGUAGGGGAGCUUCCCAUACGGGUUGAAGCAUGACCGUAAGGACAUGUGGACAGUAUGGGAGUGAGAAUGUUGGCAUGAGUAGCGAGAUGUGGGUGAGAAUCCCACAGGCCGUAAACCCAAGGUUUCCAGGGGAAGGUUCGUCCGCCCUGGGUUAGUCGGGACCUAAGCUGAGGCCGAAAGGCGUAGGUGAUGGACAACAGGUUGAUAUUCCUGUACUACCGAUAACCAUUUGAGAGAAGGGAUGACACAGUAGGAUAAGCUAAGCACACUGUUGGUUAUGUGUGCCCAAGCAUUGAGGCAGUCAAAGUAGGCAAAUCCGCUUUGAUAAUGCUGGGAUGUGAUGGGGAGCGAAAUUUAGUAGCGAAGUAGCUGAUUUCACACUGUCAAGAAAAGUCUCUAUCGAGGUUAAAGGUACCCGUACCGCAAACCGACACAGGUGGGUGAGGAGAGUAUCCUAAGGCCAGCGAGAGAACUGUUGUUAAGGAACUCGGCAAAAUGACCCCGUAACUUAGGGAUAAGGGGUGCCACCAUCAGGUGGCCGCAGAGAAUAGGCCCAAGCGACUGUUUACCAAAAACAUAGGUUUCUGCUAAGUCGCAAGACGAUGUAUAGGAGCUGACGCCUGCCCGGUGCUGGAAGGUUAAGGGGAUCUGUUAGAGCAAUCGAAGCAGUGAACUUAAGCCCCAGUAAACGGCGGCCGUAACUAUAACGGUCCUAAGGUAGCGAAAUUCCUUGUCGGGUAAGUUCCGACCCGCACGAAAGGCGUAACGAUUUGGGCACUGUCUCAACAACAGACUCGGUGAAAUUGUAAUUCCGGUGAAGAUGCCGGAUACCUGCGACAGGACGGAAAGACCCCAUGGAGCUUUACUGUAGCUUGACAUUGGGUCUUGGUACUACAUGUACAGGAUAGGUGGGAGGCUUUGAAACCAGGACGCCAGUUUUGGCGGAGCCAUCCUUGGGAUACCACCCUUGUAGUACUGGGACUCUAACCAUAGGCCAUGAAUCUGGUCUUGGGACACUGUCAGGUGGGCAGUUUGACUGGGGCGGUCGCCUCCCAAAAGGUAACGGAGGCGCUCAAAGGUUCUCUCAGUACGGUCGGAAAUCGUACGUAGAGUGUAAAGGCAAAAGAGAGCUUGAUUGCAAGACAUACAGGUCGAGCAAGGAUGAAAAUCGGACUUAGUGAUCCGGUGGUUCUGCGUGGAAGGGCCAUCGCUCAACGGAUAAAAGCUACCCUGGGGAUAACAGGCUUAUCUCCCCCAAGAGUCCACAUCGACGGGGAGGUUUGGCACCUCGAUGUCGGCUCAUCACAUCCUGGGGCUGUAGUAGGUCCCAAGGGUUGGGCUGUUCGCCCAUUAAAGUGGUACGCGAGCUGGGUUCAGAACGUCGUGAGACAGUUCGGUCCCUAUCCGUCGCAGGCGUAGGAAAUUUGAGAAGACCUGUCCUUAGUACGAGAGGACCGGGAUGGACGUACCUCUGGUGUACCAGUUGUCCUGCCAAGGGCAUGGCUGGGUAGCUAUGUACGGAAUGGAUAAGCGCUGAAAGCAUCUAAGCGCGAAGCCAACUUCAAGAUAAGAUUUCCCACCGCAAGGGUAAGACCCCAGAAAGACUAUCUGGUUGAUAGGUCGAAGGUGUAAGUGCAGCAAUGUAUUUAGCUUAUCGAUACUAAUAGGUCGAGGACUUGACCAAU
rnacentral:rRNA from 1 species